CUAAGAUUUAUAUUAUUUGGAUGAAUUAACCAUACUAAUCAUAUAUUUACACACCUUGUACCACAAGGUACACCGCCUGCAUUAAUAUCAUUUAUAGUACUAAUUGAAACAAUUAGUAAUGUUAUUCGACCAGGUACAUUAGCAGUACGGUUGGCAGCAAAUAUAAUUGCAGGACACUUAUUAUUAACCUUAUUAGGAAACACAAUACCAUCUAUAGCAAUAAACUUAAUCUCAUUACUAAUUAUUGGACAAAUACUUCUAUUAAUUCUAGAAUCAGCAGUAGCAAUAAUUCAAGCCUAUGUUUUCUCAAUUCUAAGAACUCUAUAUUCUACAGAAGUAUAUUAAACCUAUGUUAACAACUCACUCAAACCACCCAUUCCACUUAGUAGACUAUAGACCUUGACCAUUAACAGGAGCAAUUGGAGCAAUAGUCCUAGUAUCAGGACUAGCAAAAUGAUUCCACCUAUUUAAUAUUAACUUAUUCAUAAUUGGAUUUGGAAUUACCCUACUAACUAUAAUUCAAUGAUGACGAGAUGUAGUACGAGAAGGAACAUAUCAAGGAUUACAUACAGGAUUUGUAUCAAUUGGAUUACGAUGAGGAAUAAUUUUAUUUAUUGCAUCAGAGGUAUUAUUUUUCGUUUCUUUUUUUUGAGCAUUCUUUAGAAGAAGAUUAGCACCAACAAUUGAACUAGGAAUACUAUGACCUCCAAUAGGAAUUCAACCCUUUAACCCUAUACAAAUUCCAUUACUUAAUACAGCUAUUCUUUUAGCAUCAGGAGUAACAGUAACAUGAGCACAUCAUAGUUUAAUGGAAUCUAAUCAUACUCAAGCACUACAAGGAUUAUUCUUCACAGUGUUAUUAGGACUAUACUUUACAAUACUUCAAGCAUAUGAAUAUUGAGAAGCACCUUUUACCAUUGCAGAUGCAGUUUAUGGAUCAACAUUCUUUGUUGCAACAGGAUUCCAUGGUUUACACGUAAUUAUUGGAACAAUCUUUUUUAAAACAUGUCUACUUCGACACUCAAUAAAUCAAUUUUCACCAAGACAUCACUUUGGAUUUGAAGCAGCAGCAUGAUACUGACACUUCGUAGACGUAGUAUGAUUAUUCUUAUAUAUCUCUAUUUAUUGAUGAGGUAGAUAAUU